GGGAAUGUGGCUUAGUGGUAGAGUGCUUGCCUAGCAUGCAUGAGGCCCUAGGAUCAAUCCUGCAGUGCCA
rnacentral:tRNA from 1 species